rnacentral:rRNA from 1 species
AACGAACGCUGGCGGCAGGCCUAACACAUGCAAGUCGAGCGAGCAUUUCGGUGCUAGCGGCGGACGGGUGAGUAACGCGUGGGAACGUGCCCUUUUCUGCGGAAUAGUCCUGGGAAACUGGGGGUAAUACCGCAUACACCCUUUUGGGGAAAGAUUUAUCGGAGAAGGAUCGGCCCGCGUUGGAUUAGGUAGUUGGUGGGGUAAUGGCCCACCAAGCCGACGAUCCAUAGCUGGUUUGAGAGGAUGAUCAGCCACACUGGGACUGAGACACGGCCCAGACUCCUACGGGAGGCAGCAGUGGGGAAUCUUAGACAAUGGGGGCAACCCUGAUCUAGCCAUGCCGCGUGAGUGAUGAAGGCCUUAGGGUUGUAAAGCUCUUUCAGCUGGGAAGAUAAUGACGGUACCAGCAGAAGAAGCCCCGGCUAACUCCGUG